rnacentral:rRNA from 1 species
AGCAGCCGCGGUAAUUCCAGCUCCAAUAGCGUAUAUUAAAGCUGUUGCAGUUAAAAAGCUCGUAGUUGAAUUUCGGGGUUAGUAGGUUGGUCAUGCCUCUGGUAUGUACUGGUCUCACUGAUUCCUCCUUCCUGAUGAGCCUUAAUGCCAUUAAUUUGGUGUUUUGGGGAAUUUGGACUGUUACUUUGAAAAAAUUAGAGUGUUUAAAGCAAGCUAACGCUUGAAUACAUUAGCAUGGAAUAAUGAAAUAGGACGUUCGAUCCUAUUUUGUUGGUUUCUAGGAUUGACGUAAUGAUUAAUAGGGAUAGUUGGGGGCAUUAGUAUUCAAUUGUCAGAGGUGAAAUUCUUGGAUUUAUUGAAGACUAACUACUGCGAAAGCAUUUGCCAAGGAUGUUUUCAUUAAUCAAGAACGAAAGUUAGGGGAUCGAAGACGAUCAGAUACCGUCGUAG